AACCGGCGAACGGGUGCGUAACACGUGAGCAACCUACCGAGAUGUGGGGGAUAGCCGGCCCAACGGCCGGGUAAUACCGCAUACGAUUGCUUGGGGGAGUCCCCGGGCAAGGAAACCCGCAAGGGGCAUUUCGAGGGGCUCGCGGCCUAUCAGCUAGUUGGCGGGGUAAUGGCCCACCAAGGCAGCGACGGGUAGCUGGUCUGAGAGGAUGGCCAGCCACAUUGGGACUGAGAAACGGCCCAGACUCCUACGGGAGGCAGCAGUGGGGAAUCUUGCGCAAUGGUCGAGAGACUGACGCAGCGACGCCGCGUGUGGGAGGACGCCCUUCGGGGUGUAAACCACUGUUGCCCGGGACGAACAUCCACUUUCGAGUGGACUGACGGUACCGGGUGAGGAAGCACCGGCUAACUCCGUGCCAGCAGCCGCGGUAAUACGGAGGGUGCGAGCGUUGUCCGGAAUCACUGGGCGUAAAGGGCGCGUAGGUGGCGCGAGGAGUCAACGGUGAAAGUUCAGGGCUCAACCCUGAAUCGGCCGUCGAUACUCUCGGGCUCGAGCACUGUAGAGGCAGGUGGAAUUCCGGGUGUAGCGGUGGAAUGCGUAGAGAUCCGGAAGAACACCGGUGGCGAAGGCGGCCUGCUGGGCAGUUGC
rnacentral:rRNA from 1 species